UACAGAGGUGGCAAGCGUUGUUCGGAAUUACUGGGCGUAAAGGGCGCGUAGGCGGUCUUGUAAGUCUCGUGUGAAAUCCCUCGGCUUAACUGAGGAACUGCACGGGAUACUGCAUGACUUGAGAUCGGGAGAGGGAAGCGGAAUUCCGGGUGUAGCGGUGAAAUGCGUAGAUAUCCGGAGGAACACCAGUGGCGAAGGCGAGUCUCUGGACAUUUCCUGACGCUGAGGCACGAAAGCCAGGGGAGCAAACGGG
rnacentral:rRNA from 1 species